UCGCCGGUCGGUCGCCGGGACCUCACGACCGCCAUGGGCUCUCGCAUAGGGACCCUAGCGCCCUGUCACUUCUACCUCUGUGCCCCUAUCUACUCGUCCGACCACCGGUUUGCGCAGGAUCUUGGCGAGUCUUGCCAACAUUCAGAGUGGUACAUCGGAGCUCGUCGAGGUGUAUCGGUGCCAUGGCACUGAGAUCCCUCCGGGGUCUUGAGGUUUCGGCCGAACUGCUACAGGCUGGGGUUAGGGUCAUUGCCCGCUUGCCGGUGAGUGUCUCCCCAUCUACUUUUGUUCCGUUUGGGUACCUCGGCUGUGGGUCCAGGCUCAAGGUGCGCCUGACACCAUGGUGGGCGGUGGGCGCGUCGUGGCUGAUGUCACCAUGCCGGAUGGCGACGAGAGAUUGAAGAUAGGUUUAUAGCCGUCAAUCCCACAAUGAGCGGUCACGAUUAGAUCUAGAAAACAUUAAACCACGACCGUUCGAUGCUAGUUGAACGUUUGGAAAUGGAACUCGCAUACCCCUUCGCUUAAAAGAUCUGAGCCGUAGGAGCCCGAUCCAUCGAUCAGGAUUGUUUACUGAUUCUUAUAAAGCGUGGGCUAAUCCUGGCGGUCCGUUCUGAGUGAAGGAUACCCGUUCGGCUUGGAUUUUUGCAUAAGAGACCUCUGGUUUCCUUUAAAAUAACCCGUCAUCCCGUUCUGCUGUGCACCGAGUCUUAGGACUUUUUGCACCGAGCCCCUGCGUUUCUGUUUAAUAUACGCGCAGCCCAGAGAUCCUAGGAAUUGAAUAAAUAAUAUCAGGAAAUGGUUUUAAAAUGAGAAAAUAAAUACUAGAACUUAUAAAAUUCAUAGAAAAUUCAUAUGAAAUCCAAAAUUACCCAUUCCAGUUUCUAUAAUUUUGUAAUAUUAUUGUUUAUCAUUUAUUACCACUGUUUUGGCAUGAAAAUCACAAUAAAAUUUAUAUCAUAUUUAAUCUUGUACAAAACACAUAAAAUCUUCAGAAAUUCAUAACUUAAAAUCUAUAACUCCAAAAUUAAUGAUUCAUGUUCCUAGAAUCUUAUUUUAAUGUGUAGAUUAUUAUUAUAUAUUUUGUUCUUAUGUUUGGUGUGAUGUUAAUUUUGCCUAUACAUGUAUGUGUGUAUUGCUACGUUUAGCGGUGAGGACACGUGUCAUCUGAAG
rnacentral:lncRNA from 1 species